CUAAUACAUGCAAGUCGAGCGCGGGAAGCCGGACAGUAUCCCUUCGGGGUGACGACCGGUGGCAACGAGCGGCGGAUGGGUGAGUAACACGUGGGCAACCUGCCUGUAAGCCUGGGAUAACUCGCGGAAACGCGAGCUAAUACCGGAUGCGCCUUUUGUUCGCAUGAACGAAAGGUAAAAGGCGGCUUUUGCUGUCACUUACAGAUGGGCCUGCGGCGCAUUAGCUAGUUGGUGAGGUAACGGCUCACCAAAGCGACGAUGCGUAGCCGACCUGAGAGGGUGAUCGGCCACACUGGGACUGAGACACGGCCCAGACUCCUACGGGAGGCAGCAGUAGGGAAUCUUCCGCAAUGGACGAAAGUCUGACGGAGCGACGCCGCGUGAGUGAUGAAGGUCUUCGGAUCGUAAAACUCUGUUGUUAGGGAAGAAUAAGUAUAAGGCGAAUAACCUUAUACCUUGACGGUACCUAACCAGAAAGCCCCGGCUAACUACGUGCCAGCAGCCGCGGUAAUACGUAGGGGGCGAGCGUUGUCCGGAAUUAUUGGGCGUAAAGGGCUCGCAGGCGGUCUCUUAAGUCUGAUGUGAAAGCCCACGGCUUAACCGUGGAGGGUCAUUGGAAACUGGGAGACUUGAGUGCAGAAGAGGAGAGUGGAAUUCCACGUGUAGCGGUGAAAUGCGUAGAGAUGUGGAGGAACACCAGUGGCGAAGGCGG
rnacentral:rRNA from 1 species